rnacentral:rRNA from 1 species
ACUCCUACGGGAGGCAGCAGUGGGGAAUAUUGCACAAUGGGCGCAAGCCUGAUGCAGCCAUGCCGCGUGUGUGAAGAAGGCCUUCGGUUGUAAAGCACUUUCAGUUGUGAGGAAGGUGGUGUCGUUAAUAGCGGCAUCAUUUGACGUUAGCAACAGAAGAAGCACCGGCUAACUCCGUGCCAGCAGCCGCGGUAAUACGGAGGGUGCGAGCGUUAAUCGGAAUUACUGGGCGUAAAGCGCAUGCAGGUGGUUUGUUAAGUCAGAUGUGAAAGCCCGGGGCUCAACCUCGGAACUGCAUUUGAAACUGGCAGACUAGAGUACUGUAGAGGGGGUAGAAUUUCAGGUGUAGCGGUGAAAUGCGUAGAGAUCUGAAGGAAUACCGGUGGCGAAGGCGGCCCCCUGGACAGAUACUGACACUCAGAUGCGAAAGCGUGGGGAGCAAACAGGAUUAGAUACCCUGGUAGCACAGAG